rnacentral:rRNA from 1 species
UACGGAGGGUGCUAGCGUUGUUCGGAAUUACUGGGCGUAAAGCGCGCGUAGGCGGCUUGUCAAGUCAGAGGUGAAAUCCCGGAGCUUAACUCCGGAACUGCCUUUGAAACUGUCAAGCUAGAGUCAGGUAGGGGAUGGUGGAAUUCCUAGUGUAGAGGUGAAAUUCGUAGAUAUUAGGAGGAACACCGGAGGCGAAGGCGACCAUCUGGGCCUGAACUGACGCUAAGGCGCGAAAGCGUGGGGAGCAAACAGG